GGUGGUAGAAGGUGCUUGUGUGCAGCAAAGCACGGAAUACAGUAGCUUUCUGGACAGAUUGUGAUCGCAGGAUAGUUUUGUUUUGUUUUGUUUGUAGCGGAGAUUGAGCUCGCAACCUCGUGCUUGCCAGGAGGGUGCUCAGGCCACUGACUUAAAUCCCCAGCGCCCACAAGAUAGGCUUUAACUUUUGUCAGUGUGGCUGUCUUUUUGCAGCUAAAGUAUAAGUGGUCCUGCUUGAAGUGUCUUUGUUCUCAUGCAAAGUGUCUUGACUACAUGUUUUUAUAUCCUCAUUAUUCAUACCCUGUAUGGAAAGCCUUUGUCUCAAAUACCAAUUUAGGAUUAUGUAAAAUUAAUAGAGUUUGAAAACGUAAAUCUGUAAGUUAAUCAUUUAAAUAUAACUGCAUUUCUAUUGUCUGGUUUUGAAGGCCCAUAAUGCCUUCAUUCUUUUGAUUGGUUUUAUACUAUUUUGUUUGAAUUUAUUGUAUUUAAUUGUUUUAUACAAGACCUAUUCUCAUGCCUGCUUAAAGUUAACUCACUAGAGAGUUAAUUUCCAAAUUGCAAUUAUAUGUACUUAUGUAUUUAUUUAUGUAUAGUAUGGCAACUAUUUCGAAGAAAACAAGAGAUAUUAUGGUAGCCACUGUUGAUUUCCUGUUGUCUUGUUUUGAAGUCUUGUAUUGCUUGCAUUGUUCUAUUCUGAUCUGCUUUGUGAAAGGAUUUUGGCCCAGACUGUAGCUGGUAAAGUCUUGGAGGUGGAAUCAAGGGGCUCUAUCUUGAGGUCACCUUCCCCGCCCCUAGGCAAUUUACCUGUAGGGGGGUGGAUGAAUGCCAGUGGGCUACCUGCACAUCACUAAUGCCCCCUAGGCACCGCCCCAAACCUAAGCUACAUGUAUGCCCCACGCCACGUGUCUGGCAGAGAGAAAGCCAGCCCCCGGAGACAAUGCCAGACCCCAGAGGGUCAGGGGGUCUCUCCCCGCAUUCUUAAAAUAAAGGUCACUUAUAUUUCAUACUUCGUAUCUUUUCAGCCACGCCAAAAUUCUAUCAUUUUGUUCUGUUCUGUUUUGUUUUAUUCUCUUUAAAAUAAAUAAAUAAAUACAUAAAUAAAUAUAACUACAAAUUGAAAAUUAACUCUCUAGUGAGUUAACUUUAAGCAGGCAUGAGAAUAGGACCUGCAUAAAACAAUUGGUUGUUUUAGGCUGAGUAUUACUUAUCUAAAAUACUUGAAAUAAGACGGUGGUGAAUUUUGGACUUUUUUUGGUUUUAAAAUAUUUGCAUAUCUAUCAUGAGAUCUCUUAAGAAUUGGACCCAGAUCUAACCACAAAUUUCCUUUGUUUUGUAUAUGUUUUUACAGAGAGACUAAAGUAAUCUCAACAGUAUCUAUAGCGUUUUAACUGCAGUGUAUCACAUAAGGUUCAAUGAACUUCUGUUGAACAAUGCCUGUUUCUAAGCAGUAUGUGAAAGAAGAAAAUAAGAUGAAGUCCCUGCUCUGAAAGGCUGUGGUCAGUGCUAACGUGGAGGGCCACCACAUCGCCCUCCCCAGACCCCAGCGUGAUUGCCUUGUGCGCCAUGCGUGCUAUCCAGAGAUGACCUCUCUAAACUGGCUUUCGGUUUGAAUAGUGAGGCAGUGUACGCGUCUUCACGGGAGCAAGCGGGUGUUGUGUUGCUCCUCGACGGUGGUGAGAGUUCAGUACAGUGGAGCUGGCUGUGAGAGUGUGGACUGAGACGUGAGAUAACGUCCCUGCUGAGCCUGGUGUGACUCCAGAAGACAUUCCUUCGCAGAGCUGACUACAGAACAGGCUACUCUGCUAACCACAGCCUGAACCUGGCUGUCCGGGUCCCCGCACAGGAACGCUUUGUUCCCUCUUGUACAAGCCUGCAUGUGCAUUUUUCAGCCGCAGUCCCCUCACCUAACUCCCUGGCUUACGUGGGAGUCAGGUUCUGGCUGCCUCUUGGUCUGUGUUUCCCACAGACUCUGGCCUCCCAGAUCCCUCAGCACUGCUGUCCAUCUCUUGCACUUUCUUUGUGGCACGAGCCCUAAUACCUUGCAGACUCACUGCAGGAGUCCCCAGUAGAUAAAUUCUUUUUAUUCUGAAGUUAAUUUUGUUGGUACAUUUGGGAUGCACAUAGUGACAGCAUUCACCAUGUAGAAUUUGAUUCUCUUUCCCCUUUCCUCCCCUCACUGUGACCGUUCAUCUUCUCCUUAUUACAAAAGCAUUCUUUCCAUUUUUCCCUUCUAUUUGCUUCUUUCCUUCUCCGCCUCUAGGUCCUUUUCUCAUUUGAAAAUUUUCUUAUUAUUUCACAAUAUCUAUUAUUUAUUUUGGUCCUUAUUUACAUUUUUGGUUUCUUAUCAAAGAAAUCAUGCACUAUUUGAGUAUGUUGUUUGCCUUAUUUCACUUCAGACUAUGGUCUCAAGGUAAAUCCACUUACCUAGAAAGGUCUCAAUGUAUCCUUCUUUAUGGCAAAGUAGUACUCCAUCAUAUAAACAGCCCACAUCUUCUUUACCCGUUCAUCAGUUGAUACAUAUCUGGGCUAUUUCCAAGAUUUAGUUAUAAACUGUGCUGCUGUAAACAUGGGUGUGCAUAUAUCACUGUGUUAUGAUGCUAUUAAGUCUUAGAGGGAAAAUUCCAAGAAGAGGAAUACCUGGGUCAAAUGAAAUCACAACCUUUAAUUUUUUGAGGAAUCUCCACAUUAAUAUCCACAGUGUUUUUACCAGUCUGCACGCCUACCAUUAAUAGGAAAGGGUUCGUUUUCUCCAUAGCCCUGCCAGCGUUUGGUAGUGGUUGAUUUCUUGACAAUAUGGUCUCUCAGCAUUGUUUUUAUUUACAUUUCUCAAAUGAUGAGGGGUAUUGAAAUUUUUUUCAUAUAUUUUCCAUUUCUACUUUUUUUUGUCUGAGAAGCAUCUAUUCAUUUCAGAUGCCUGUUUUUAGAUGAACUCUUCAAAUUGGGAGGGGACUGGUUUUUUAAAGUUCUUUUUAAUGAUCUAUUACUACUUUAUUUUUUUAAAACAAAACAAAAAGAUAAAAAUGAUGCAGAAUUUCAAAAAAAGUGGGAAAUUAACACUAGUUAACAAUUGCAUAUCAUUAUCUUAGAGGUAGUUUAGGUUACAGGGUUCAGGCAUAAAAAAUGAUCAUUGAAAGUACAAACUGUUCUUUUUGAUGAACCACAGAGAUUAGUAGUAGAGUUUUCUACCUUGUAUAUGUAUAUAUACACACACACACAUAUUAUACACAUACCCUUAUACAUAUAAUUUUCCCUUUCUCCUUUCCCCUAUCCCAGUUGUUUUUUCCUUUUGAACACUCUCUUUCUCUUUUAUUUUCACAGUACCUAUUGUGCAUUUAGGAUCUUAUUACUCUUUCAGAUUUUUUGUUUUUUUAAAAGUUCUUUAUAUAUUCUAGAUAUUAGUUCUUUGUCUGAGAAACAGCUGACAAAAAAUGUUCUCCCCUCUGCAUUAUCUCUUCAUUGUGUUGGCUUCUUUGGUUGCACAAAGCUUUUUAAUAGGGUGAGAUCCAGCUGAUUCUUUGUGCUGCUUCCUGAGUGAUCAGGGCUUUACCUCCACCUGUGUCUGCAAGAGGUCUACUUAUUCUGUCUUCCAGCGGAUUUAGUGUUUCUAUUUUAAUAUUUGGAUCUUUGAUCCAUUUCAAUAUUAGUUUGGUACAUGGUGAGAGAAAUAAGUCUUUGGCAUGUGGAAAGCCAGUUUUUCCAGCAACAUUUCAUAAAGAGGCUAUCUUGCUUCCUGUGAAGAUAUUUGAUCCAUUCAUCAAAGAUUAGAUGGCUGUGUUUGAAGUUGUUUCUGCAUCUCCUAGUCAGUUCCAUUGAUCCCUGGAACUUUUCCCCUCCAGUAGCAUGCUUGUUUUUCCUCUGUGAUUUUGUGGUAUAAUUUCUAGCCAGGGACUGUGGUGCCCCCUAACUUGCCUUUGUUGCCCAGAAUUGCUUUUGCUAUUCUCUUCUGGUUCAAAAUUAACCUUACAAUUUUUUUCUGUAAUUCGGUGAGGUAUGCUACUGUUAUUUUAAUUGGAAUUCCAUUAAAUCUAUAUGACAUUUUUGGAAAUGUGGCCAGUUUCAUGAUUUUGGUUCUUCCUGACCAAGGACAAGGGGUAUCAUUCCAUUUUCUGAUAUCCUCUUUGAUCUUCUUUUCAGAGUACUGUAGCUUUCAAUGUAAAGGUCUUUUACUUCCUUUAUUAGAGUAAUUCCUAAGUGUUUCAUUUUUUGGAUGCUACUGUGAAAGGUGGUACUCUCAUUUCUCAGUGAGUUUGUUAUUUGUGUAUGUGAAUGCUAUUGAUUUUUGAGUGUUGACUUUGUACCCAGCUAUGCUACUAAAUUUGGUGAUUAAAUCGAGAAACUUUGGGUUUUGGGGGUCUAUUCUAUUUGGAGUAUUGCAUCAUCUGUAAAUAUUGAUAAUUUAAUUUCUUCCUUUGCUAUGCUUAUUGUUUUCAUUGCUUUCUCUUGUCUAAUUGUUCUAGCUACUGUUUCCAGAACUAUGUUGAAUAUGAGUGGUGAUAAUGGACAUCCUUGUCUUGUUCCUGAUUUUAGAGUAAAAGCUUUUAGUUUUUGUCUACUUAGUAUGAUGUUGGCUGUUGGUUUGUCAUAGAUGGCUUUUAUCAGAUUGAGAUAAAGACUGUCCAUUCCAAUUUUCUGUAGGGCUUUUAUUAUGAUGGGGUGUUGGAUUUUGUCAAAUGGUUUUUCUUCCUUGGCUCUGUCAAUAUGGUGCAUUACAUUUAUUGAUUUGCAUAUGUUGAACCAUUCCUGUAUCCCUGGGAUGAAUCCUACUUGGUCAUCAUAUAUAAUUUUCUAAUGAUUUGUUGCAUCCUAUUUGCCAGUAUCUUACUGAGGAUUUUUGCAUCUAUGUUAAUUAAGCAGAUUGGCCUGUAUCUCUCUUUUUUAGUUGGAUCCUUUUCUGGUUUUGUUCACUUCCAGGAAUGAAUUUGAGAGUAUUGCUUUCCUUUAAAUUUCAUUAAAGAGUUUGAGAAAUAGUGGCGUUAGAUCUUGUCUAAAUUUCAUGUAAAAUUCAGCUAGGACCCGAGCUAUUCUUUGUUGGUAGGUUUUUAACUAACUUAUUUAAAAAUUUUUUAAAAUUAUUUUAAAGGUAGUAAAAUACAACAGAACAAGACAGAACAAAACCAAUUUAGACAGUGUAGUGAAACUGGUACAGAGCUUCACAGCAGGUUACCAGGACAGUAAUAGGUACCACAGGAGAUCUCGUUAUCAUCACAAUAGUUGUUCUUUCAGUCAGAUAUAGCAAAAUAAAAUGAAAUACAGAACAUUAUAGAAAUUAUCAAAACAGAAUAUUGAAUAAAGAAAUACCAUUAAUCAGAAUAAAGCAAAACAGUGGUAAAAAUAUUUGCCUUCAAAUAGAUGGUAGAAGGAAAUUCCCCUUAUUUGCUAUAUUGCGUAUGGUCAGCCUCCCUAGAGAUGCUCAGAUCUCUGGCUCCCAUUUGCUAAAGGCGGGGGAUGUUUGAUUUUCAGCCUGUGUGCCGGUUGGCUCACUAAGCAAGAAGGUGAGCUGGUUGCUUGGUUUCCCAGUACCCUAAGAUCCAACAUGGCAUGGAUCUCAGGAGACGCUGGUGGUUCUCCCCUUGGGUCGACCACAGCUUGCUGAGCCACAACUGCUUACCAGGGGAGCAAGCUAGUUGCUUGGUUUCCCAGUACCCUAAGUUCCAACAUGAUACAGAUUUCAGGAGUCGCUGGUGGUUCUCCCUUUGGGGCAGCUGCAGCUUGCAGAGCCACAGCCACUUACUGAUUGUUGACUGGGUCAUUUAGAAUCUUUAUAUCUUCUUGACUCAGCUUUGGUAAUUCUUACAUAUCUAGGAAUUUGUGCAUUUCUUCUGUGUUUUCCAUCUUAUUAGAAUACAGGUUCUUGAGGUAGGUAUUAAUGGUCAUCUGAAUUUCUGCAGGGUUCAUUGUAAUUACACCCUUUUCAUUCCUAAUCACAUGAAUUUGAGUCUUUUCUUUCCUUUUUUGAUGAGAUUAGCUAAGGGUUUGUCAGUUUUAUUUUAUCUUUAUUUUUAUUUAUUUUGCUGUUAGUUUCCUUUCUUUCCCCUAUUUUAACUGCUUGCCUUGUCUGGUAGAUUCAUUCUCUUGGGAUUCAUUAGAUUGUAGUCUUUGUUAUCUCUUUCUACAAUUGCCUUCAAAACAUUUUGUGGCUGGCUUGGUGGUCAUGAAUUUCCUCAGGUGGUUUUUGUCAUGGAAGUAUCUUAUUUCUCCAUCAAUUCUGAAAAAACAAUUUCGUAGGGUACGUUAAUCUCAGUUGGAGGUUGUUUUCUUUUAGGACUUGAAAUAGUUCACUCCAGCCUCUCCUUAAGGGUUUGUGUUGAGAAGUCUGCUUUAAUUCUGAUGGGCUUUCCUUUGUAAGUGAUUUGUUUCUUUUUCUCUAACAGAUUUGAGAUGAAUAUUCUGUUCUCAUGUUGAAUUUCUGGAAUCCUAUUAUAAGCCAUGGGGUAAAUUUCUUUUUUAUGAUGGGUAAUUGGAGUUCUAUGUGCCUCACUUAUCUGUGUGUCAACUCUUUUUCCGUGCCAGGCAAGUUUUCUGCUAUGACAUUUGUGUACAGAUUUUUUUUUAAAUGUCACUUGCAGUAUCUCCCGCUUUUUUCACUGACUCUGAUCAAUCUUAUGUUAUUAUUCUUUGCAUCAUCUAGCAGCUGUUGGAUUGAUUUUUUUCUUGUAUUCCCUUGCUAUUUUUAAGAAAUCUUUUCACUAACACUAAGUGCAAUCCUGUCUUCUAAGUCUAACAUUCUAUCCUCACAAUGGAUCAUUCUGCUGUGUAGACUUUUAAUAGAAUUUUUAAUCUACUGAUUUAAUCUGUUUCAUAGAUUCCAUUUCUUUCCUGUGUUGGACAUUAAUGCUUUCCAUCAUUUUUCUAAGCUCCUCUUUUUUUAAAGGUGUAUCUUCUCUUGAUUCACUAAUCAUGUCCUUCAUUAUGUCACCAUCUCUGUAGUUAUCUGAGAGAUUAUUUAUGAUUUGAUUUCUUCUUAACAAAGUUAUUUUUAAGUUCAAAAUGCAAUUGUUCUUUCUGUACAUGGAUUAUUGUCAUUCUUGUGAUCACAUCCACAGAUGGUAAUCUUAUGACUGAAACUCAAGUUCAUAUUCCUAGAGGUGGAAUGGAAGUGCAGUAUUUGAUUAUACAAGGAACUCCACUUAUUUUCAAAAUAUACAAAAAGUUGGUAGAUUGGUGUUAUGGUUUCCCUCAACAGUGUCCCCCAAAAAGUCUCAUGUGUUCAGAGAUGGAGCUUGUGGAACGUAAUUGAAUCAUGAGGGCUCUAACUUCAUCAGUGGAUUAAUCCAUUGGUGAGUUCACAAAUUGAUGCAUUAUUUGGAGGUAAGAGGAGGCCUCCUUGAAGAAGGUUCAUGAGGGUGUAACCUGGGGACUUUCUAGACUCUGUAUGUCUUAGUUAUUUUUCUUUCAUUGCUGAAACAAAAUAUGCAAUGCCCAAAAUUAAUGAAGAAAAAGGUUUAUUUAGCUCACAGUUUGUGGAAGUUUCAGUCCAUAACCAGCUGGCUCCAAGAAAGGGUAGCAUGGCAGAGGCAUGACAGUUCAUGGUGACAGAAGACAGCAAGACCAGCAAGAGCAAAAAGGGGAAGAGAGAGACCAAGCCUCUUUCCCUCCCUUAUAAUGUAUGCAGGCUACCUGCCCCAUGGCAGGUGUAGUACUCACACUCAUAAUUCCAAGCAUUGGACCAUGAAUCUAUCACAAACUCUAGAAACCCACUGCCACAACUGCACAAGGCUUGGGGAACAUAUAGAUACAACUCAUAACAUUCUGCAUCAAACUCCCCAAAGACCUAUGCACAUCCCUUUAUGCAAAAGGCAUUUAGUCCAUCUCUAAGAGUUGCCAAAGUCCUAACAGUUUCAGCAUUGUGGAAAAGUCCAAGUCCCAGGUCUCUGAUUGUAAGGCACUCUUAGCUGUUAGCUCCUGUACAAAUGAAAAGAAAGCUAAACACUUCCAACAUUUAAUGGUACAAGAUUGACAUUUCCUUUCCAACAGUUACAAACAGGAGAAUACAAAGGAUUGGGACCAAAGCAAAUCCAAAGUCCGGCAGGGCAAACAUUAAGUUCUGUUUCCAUGUGAAACAUAUGAAGCAAUCUGUGGCAAGUUGUGAGCUCCAAAGGGUUUGUGUGGUUGUGUCCCUGUGGCACUUUCAGUGGCUAUAGCUCUCACAGUUCUCUCUUAUGCCUGCUUAGCUCUCUCCUUGAAGGUUUUCUCAGAUGGUCAACAUGCCUGGCUUCUCCAGACUUCCAGGAUCUCCACUGCACCUUCAGCUUCACAUUCACAGCUUCACACAACGUCUGAUCUCCUAGGCCUUCUGAAAUCAGGGCGGAAGCCUUCUUAACCCCACAACUCUUGCAUUUUUCAUGUGCCAUAUGGAUGCUGCCAAAGUCUACAACCAGUUGGAGCAGUCAGUAACUAGGCUUUCCUCUCUCUUGGCUGUAGGGGUUGAGUGCCUGGAUUGAUGAGCACUCUACAUGCAAUUCUGAGGAACAAAUUCUCUAUGAUACUACCAUUUUUGAACCUGGAAUGGAUGCCACUGCUGUUCUGGAAAAUGAUGCUCUGUGGCUUUCUCCUCAAAGCAAAGCCUUUGACUUUUGCAAUUUUGAGUCUGCAAAGGGUGGAUUACUACUGCUUCUUGUGAUGCCCUCAGGCCAUCUUUUCUAUUCUCAUGUUCCUUCUUAUCAAUCAAGAUUUCUUCUGCUCUACCUUUGCAGUUCACAGCUUUACUGGCGCUUCCUUUCUGACCAAACUCAUGUUUUAAAUCACCCUGAUGGGUUUUUUUGCUCUUGAUUCUCAACAUAAAUCUGGCUAAAAUCCCCCCAAAAUAGCUAUGCCACCACCUCAACAUUUGACUGCCUUGAAAUUUUUUCUAUUAGUUUAAUUAGUCCAUCAUACUUAAUCUGAGGCUCAGGCAAAGUCUUUGGACAUGAGAAAAAUGCAUAUAAACAUUUUGCCAAACCAUAACACAUGUCAUCUGGAGUCCAACAGUCAAUGCAGUCCUUCCCAACAGAAACCUACCACGCCUGGUCUUUACUGGCAGGAUUUCUGUCAACCUUUUGGUCUUUUUAGUUCCGAUCAGAAUCUUCCAUACAGAACAGCCUAAGAUGUUCCAAGCUACUCUUUCAGGCAACAUCUCUGAACCUUUCCAAACUCUUCCCAUAAGUCAUUCCCAGCGGUUCUUGAGCCACAUGGUCAGGUAUAGUCACAGCAACAACUUCACUUCUCGGUACCAAAUUCUGCAUUGGGUUACUUUUCUUUCAUUGCUGAGACAAAAUACAUGACACCCAAAUUAAAGGGAAAAGUUUAUUUAGCUUAUGGUUUGUGGAGGUUUCAGUUCAAAAUCUGUUGAUACCAAGGCAGGGUGGCAUGAUAGAAGAGUGACAGAUCAUGGUGGUGAAAGGCAGCAAAAGCAACAAGAGCAGAAAGGGAAGGAAAAAGAGACCGAGCUUCUUUUCCUUCCUUAUGUUAUAGGCAGGCUACCUGCCCCAGGGCAGGUGUACCCAUACUCCCAGCAACGGACCAUGAAUCGAUCACAAACUGUAGAAACCCAUCCCAUGACUACAUGAGGCUUUGGGAGACUUCUAAACACAAACCAUAAAUUUGCUUCUUUAUCCCUCUCUCCCUCCUCUCAGGCUGCUACAGUGAACAGUUUUCCUGUGCCACACCCUUCCAUGAUGUGUUUGCCUCACCUCAGGCCUAAAAACAGUAGAGUCAGUUGACUAUGGGCUAAAACCCUGAACCAAAACAAACUUUCUUCCUUAAAGGUGACUGAUGUUAGUAUUUUGUCACAGUGAUGAAAGCUGGCAAUUGAAAAUGUAAAAAUAUUAACUAGCCCUCCAACACAAAUAGUUUGAAAAGUGCUGGCCUAGAAUAUUGCCCGCUACAUAAUAAGUAUUCAUUAUUACUUGAUGGGUGAAUGAAUGAGGUUAUUGCUUAGUCAAAAUAUUUUCUUAUACUAGUUUUUAUGUAUUAUGCAAAACAGUACAGUAUUUGUUACCUGUAGUAAGUUGAAUAGCCAUUGGGUUAGGGGGCUUUCACUUACCUUGAAAGUGCUUUUUGUAAAACUAAGUUUACAAAUGUUUUCAUUGUUACUAAUAGAAAUCAUUUUUUAUUCUCUCUAAAGCCUAUCAUCACCAUCUAUAUGAAUUAUGGAAAAAGAAACUAGAAGACACUGGUUAGGAAUAUAUAACACAAGAAGAGAAUGUUGCCACUAAUGAAAAUCUGGUUUGAAUAAAAUUCAAUUUGUUACUGGCUAACAUUUCUACACAUCAUUAUGUCCACAUUAUAUCACAACAAUGGCAUGAGACCUUGAGAAUCUAGAAGGGUCUUCUGAACUAUCAAGCACUGGUUACAUUGUUUGUUACAGUUUUAAUCAAGUAUAUUUUACAAUAUUUUAACUUUAAAAAUUAAUUUUUCAAUAUGGCCAUAUGGUAUCUGUCAGUCGGAAAUAUUAUUAACCAGAUCUUUCUAUAUAUCCCAGUAAAAGCUAAGUACUAUAGAUGACCACAUAUAGGAUGAGAUUUCCUCCAGAAUUAUCCAUCAGAAAAGAUUUGGUUUAUAUUUGAGUUCUGACAAAGUCAUAUUACAGAGCUGUCUUUCAGUUACAUGUCUUUGACAGCAAAGCACACCCUUGAGAAAAGAACAUGAAGAUUAUCCUAACCAGUGUUAGCUUCAGAUGCUUGUAAAAGUCACCAGAAAAUUGCUAGAAAAAGCAAGGAAAUUUCAUGAGUUUAAUGUAUUCUUCAUACUCACUAGUGGAGCUAUUGGUAUAAACGAGCUUUAAAAAUCUACUGUAUAAGAUUACGUUUUAGUAAAGAACAAACAUUUAUCAGGAACAUUAGAUGUAGUACUGUGUCACUGGAUAAUUUCUAUAGGCAUCUGUUAUGGAAUGAAAUUGUGUCCCCUCCCUCCACCCCAAGAUUUAUAUGUUCAAGAUCUAAUGCUCAGCGUGACCAUGUUUGGAAAAGGGCCUUUAAAGAAGUAAUAAUUAGAAAAACAUCAAGCUUCUUUCAAACUAAAUGGAAAACAAGUAACUAAGGACUAAAGAAGUCCUACAUCCCUCUGAAAAUGGCACAGGGAAGUGCAGCCCCUUUUCCUUGUCAACAAAGAGUGAUCCCCCAAAAAUGAAAGACUCACUUAACUAUGUAAACGUACCCUGAGACCUCAAGCAACACCACUGCCAUCUUGGUGCUUUCCCACCUUUAUGCUUGAAGGUGUAGUCUCUCACUCUGAAAACUCUAUCAUAAUUACCUACAAUCUUAAAGUAAUUAAGGUUAAAUGACGUUAUUGAGGUAGGCCCUAGAGGAAAGAGGAAACCUUAUAUAGUGCAGAGGAACAAAGCAAGAGGAUAGCUAUUUGUGAGCCAGGAAGAGAGACUGGAGUAACCAAUCUGCCAGCCCUUGACCUUGAACUUCAGCCUCCAGAAGUGUGGAAAAAUAAAGUUCUGUUGUUUAAGCCAAGUGUUCUGCAGUAUUUUGCUGUGGCUUUGUGUUAUCAGUUUUAGCAGACUGAUAAAGCAUGAUAUAUGCUGGUUCAAAUGGUAGAGUACCCCAAACAAAGUAGGUGAAAGUCAGAUGGUGUGUUAUAGAAACCUCCAUGACUCAGUGGCCUUUGUGAUAAGCAAAAUUACAGUGGCAAAGAUGUCUCUGAAGAGUUUGGUUGCAUUUGUUUCAUAGAAUAAAGAUAGAAAAAAUAAUGUUUUGAAAAUAUUUUUAAAUAUCAAAUGGUAACAUUUAAUGAUUUCAUCCAUAUCCCUUUAAAUUUACAACUUGAAUUUGACUAAAAAACUCUUGAUGGAGCUUUCUUGGAGAAAUCCUUAUCAUUUGGAUUUACUCAAAGAGGUUUUUGAAAAAAUUAGAAUAAAAUAUAGCCAUGCAGAAAAAAAUGGCAUGAUAUUAUUUAGCAUUGAUCAAAUUAACUUUAAAAUAAAAAUGUUCUUGUAUGUAUAAUUCACUUUAUUAAAGUGAGUUUUGGGCUUGGGAUUUUGCUCAGUGGCUCAAGCACUUGCGUGAUAAGUGUGAGGUCAUGAGUUCAAUCCCUGGCACCAAAUAAGUAAGUAAAUAAAGUGAGUUUUCAUAUGAGCAAUGCUGUUUAGAUAAGUUUGAUUAGGGCUGAUCUACAGAGUUUAUAGAUACACAGCAUAAAGAGCUCUAUAAUACAUUUAAGACAAUACAUUGAAUUAGAACCCUCUUUAUAUGCAGCCUUCUGACAGCAGUUGCCACUGGGCCAUCCUUCUGCCUGGCACAGGAGCUGCUGGACUAGAUGAUAGCUGUUUGCUGGCUCAUAGGAAACCAGCAUCCGCUGAAUAUACAUGCAGACAUCCAGUGUUGUCUUCCCAUUUCUUUUGCAUUGUAAUGUUUCUUUUCUUUUUAAGAAACUACGUAUUCCUCAUGAGCUACAAACAGUCCCAAAUUAUGUAUUUUCCUGAGUGUUGUUUAUACAGAAGAAAUUAGUGUCUUCCCAUUUCUCAGGAUACCACAUGUAUUUAGAAUGAGAACCUGCAUCAAACUAGAGACGCACGGAAGAGGGAUUAUGUGAAAAGAACACAAACCCAAGUUUUCUAGUCUAAUUAUCUCUAUCACAAAGCAAAAAUGAAUGCAUAUACAUCCCUAUCUUCAAGGUUUUCCUACCAGAGAAAUUUGACCAAAUCAGAAGCUGUUGCAGCAAUCUGAAGGGGUUUUCUCAUGAAGACAUUAAGCCUGUGAACUUCAGCUUGUAAAUAAAAAUUAUAUUGAAUAUUGUACCUUUUGUUAAACAUGAGAGAUGCAUAAAAUAGGUAAUAAACUGUAAACUGAA